UACGGAGGGUGCGAGCGUUAAUCGGAAUUACUGGGCGUAAAGAGUGCGUAGGUGGUUGAAUAAGUUAUCUGUGAAAUCCCUGGGCUUAACCUGGGCAGGUCAGAUGAUACUGUUUAACUCGAGUAUGGGAGAGGGUAGUGGAAUUUCCGGUGUAGCGGUGAAAUGCGUAGAGAUCGGAAGGAACACCAGUGGCGAAGGCGGCUACCUGGCCUAAUACUGACACUGAGGCACGAAAGCGUGGGGAGCAAACAGG
rnacentral:rRNA from 1 species